GAAAUGAGGAGUUAGCCUCUUAUUAUAUAAUAAUAAUAAUGAUAAUAAUAAUAAUAACUAAUCUCUUUUAUCAUAUAAUUGAUAAUGGAAAUUCACAUUGACAAAAGGCAAAUUACACACUGACUGGGCAGAAUAAAAAACAGUCUCUCUCAAAAGCAAUAAUUUAAACACUAACACCACCUUAAGGAGACACCCCAAAAAUAAAGCAGCAAGCUCUUACUGUGACCACACACACACACACACACCAAACUUUUAUUAUAGAAUAAAUCUAAGAUGAUGGAUGAUGGAUGCGUCACAUAAAAGUUAAUUAAUUUAAUCGCUGUCACUGCUGCUGCUGCUCUCGUGUCCGUCCUCGUGCUUCUUCUUCUUCUCCUUCUUUUUCUUCUUCUCUUCACCGUGGGCGGCGCCCUCGCCGCCGCCGACACCGGGGAUCUUCUGCUUGAUCUUGUCCACCAAGCCCUCCUUGUGUUCGCCCUCCUUGUGUUCCCCGCCGUGAUGCUGCUGCUGAUGGUGAACAUCAGUAGUGCCGACACCGGGGAUCUGCUGCUUGAUCUUGUCCACCAAGCCCUCCUUGUGUUCGCCGCCGUGAUACUGCUGCUGAUGGUGGACAUCAGUAGUGUGGUGGUCCCCACUAUGGUGCUCUCCCUUGUGCUUGUCCUCCUCCUUUUGCCCUCCUCCCAUGUGAAGGGCUUCUCCGAUCUUGUGAAUAACUCCUGACAUUUUCCCUUAAAAUGACUCUGUUCCUCUUCUUUUCUUUUCAAUGAAAAAUAGUUGUUUGCGAUCUUCUUCUGGUUGUUGUUGUUCUUGUUGGGUGAUCUUGGCUUGGUAUUUAUAGGCUCCAAAAGGAGGGACUAGAAUUAGGAUUAGAUUAUAGAUUAUUUUAAUACAUUUUAUGGCAAAUUCUGAUUUGGAAAGAUAAGAUUAUCCUUUUGGUUUUCCUUAUUUACCCUUUUGCACCCAUUACGUGUACGCGUCUUCGUGGGCUUUUUGGGUAUUUCAAUUAUAUCGCCAAUGCUAAAUCGACACGUUGCAUAUCAGCCGCGGUACUGCCGUAUGUAGUUGUCCAGAAAUCGAGUCGAUUCUCGAUCGUACAAUAAUUAAAUAAUAUUUCAUACGAAAUGAGUUUAGAUAUAUUUUGAAAAUUUAUUUUUAAUUUAAUUAUACGUGUUAUAUAUUUGUUAAUCGAAUAGAGGUCCCACGUAACAGAGUGUUUCUCUAAUCUUUCAUUGCUUUUAAUUAAUUUUACCCAAAUAAAAAAAAAAAGGAAAAUUUAGAGAGAGAGAGAGAGAUAGCGAAUUAGAAGUUGAUUGUAAUAUCGACACCUGUCAGACAAUCAAAUAUCGUUAGUUAAAAAUCAGUUGUCCAUAGUCAUGGUCAUAGAUGGCGAAAUUGAUACUUAUUUUAAAAAACAAAACAAAACAAAACGAAACGAAACUAAACUAACAGAUGUUGAAAUGCAGUUCCGUGUUAACAGUCUGUGAUGAAUCUUUAUCUUUGAGUAUACCAUUCAAGAAAUUAUCAUUCAAAAAUUUAUUUAAAGCAGCAGCAAAUCACCUUCUAAUUCCUGAAUCAAAUUAAUUCGAUUUUUUUCGAGUCGAUCAAUUCAUUAGAGAAUUAACGGGCUAAGUUAAAGUUUUGUUAGUUAUUUUUUUUUAUAUUCCUUUAGAUGAUAUGAUUGUCAUUGUCUUUCUUUCUCUGGGCAACAAUAAAUACAAGAUGUGCAAAAGCGUAGUGGAACAUAAUUCGAUUAUGGGUAAAGGGAUCAGUCCGCAUAAUGAGGAUAAAGUUUUUCUCUUUAAAAAAAUUUAACCCAAAGAAAAGGUCGUAGUUUGUAAUAGCCGACACGCAGAUAGAUCACAAAGCAUGGCGGUCCUGAUGGCAAUAACUAACUGAUAUCUUCUGCGAUGAGAGGAGAUCACGUGGUUCUGACACGUAUCGCCCCAUCAACUGAUGUUGUGGCUGCAAUCGCGGCCCAGUCUUUAGAGAGAAGAAAGAUCUGUUAUAACGGGACCUACUUUAGCAUCUAUUUACGACAAAGCCCCUAUUUACUCUACUUAGUAGUAAUAAUAGCAAGUGUCGGGCUUGGAUUCCGUGUUGCUUUAAAUAAAUAUCCGCGUAAAAAGAAAAUGCUUCUUUAAUCCCUUCCUUGUAAUUUUUCGACACGUGGAUGGUUGAAAUUAGCGUGCCGACAUCUUAGGAAUUUUAUCUUGGAGACGGGAACACUGCAGUAGGCAAUGCCAUUUUCUUCGGAUGGUGUGUGGUGACAACGCCUUGGAUUUUGACGUGCAAAGAAUUUAAAUUGAAAAAGAAAAAAAGAAAUUACCAGAAUAAGCAUAGAAGAGAUAUUUUUCUUUUUGUCCUUUUUGGAAUGGAAAAAGAGAUCAAGAGAUUGUUCCAGUAAGUAUUACACAUGUCACAGGCUUAUUCAUGCCCCAUUAUGGCAACUUUUAUGCCUCGCGGUGCCCUCGGUUCCAGCAUAAUAGCUAAGACUUCAAUUUUUCUAACAUAUUUUUGUUACAAAUAUGAACGGAGUAAAUGUAUAACUUUAAUCCUUUGAAUAAAGAAAUGGCGGUUCUCCUGCUCGUUAAUCUCACUUGAAUCCCACCCAGGCAAAAUUUCUUUAUUUUAUUUAACAACAAUUUAAAGAAAGAAACUUUUGCCAGGUUGAAUUUCAAGUGAGAUUCAUUCGUGGGAGAAGUGCCAUUUCUUUAUUCAAAAGAUUAUGGUAAUUACAACUUUCAAUUUCGACAUAAAUUAAAAUUAUAGGCUAUACAAUAAAAUUGCCCUAAAUUAGUCCUAAUCAAUUCAGAUUAUAAAUUUAGGUAUAUUUAUUAUUUUAAUAUAUUAAUGUUCUAUAUAUAUAUAUAUAUAUAUAUAUAUAUGUGUGUGUGUGUGUGUAUNNNNNNNNNNNNNNNNNNNNNNNNNNNNNNNNNNNNNNNNNNNNNNNNNNNNNNNNNNNNNNNNNNNNNNNNNNNNNNNNNNNNNNNNNNNNNNNNNNNNNNNNNNNNACAGCAGAAAAUAUUUGCUAUGGAUAAGGAGACAUGGUCCCACGUCCCACCGUCCCAAUGCAUAUUUUGUAUGUUUCCAUCUUUUCUGAAAUUUUAAUAAAUAAAGUUUUUUGACCACUUGGCCAAAGAACCUUACCCUUACACAACUUUGUGGUUGGAGUCCUGUGAUACAUGUAAGAACUUAUUUUUUUUCUUAAUUAUAAUAUUUUAGAAUAUAAUUAAGUGAAGUAGGUUUUUUUUUUAAAUAUGAGUAAAAUAGAUAUUUUUUAAAUAUUAAAGAGAGUAAAAUUUGAAUAAUAAUAUAUUAAAAUUAAUACAAACUAAUUUUAAUAAUUAUUUAAUUAUAAAUAUCAAUUAUAACAUCAUAUAAUAUCAAUUAUAAUAUCGUACAUCUCAAUUAAUUCAAUAAUAAUAAUAAUAAAUGUUUUUUGGGAUAAGUAAACAGUCGCAUGGCGACAAUAGUGGAUCUGGAUUAGAGUGAAGUGGUCCCAAGAGGCUGAGGCUGUGGCUGUGGAGUUCUAAAAGUCAAAAGCUCCACGCACUUUGUUUCAGUACCAUACACACUGAAAAAAUUUGCAUUUGCAAUGACGAAAACUUUUCACGAAAUCAAAACACCUCUAAACUAUUUUGUUAUCGAUAUUUAAUGGAGGGGUUUCCUACCUUUUUAACACUCGAUUCACGCCUUGACGCAUCUCACAGAAAACCUCAUGAUCCCAUUAAUCUUGCGUAACAUAUCUCAAAGCCAAUGCAAGUGAUCUUGUUGCCUACUUCCCUUUGACGAUUCAAAAUUGUUGAAAAUAAUUCUUUUUUUUUUUAACCUCAAGGAAGUGACAAAAUAUAAAAGAAUAUUUUCUACACAUUAAACAUCUAGAUUUUUUUUUCUUUUCUUUUUAGAGUACUUGCACAAACCGUUUCCAAGAGAGACCUUUUUUUUUUUUUUUUUUUUCCGGGCUUGGUUACUAAUUUGGUGUGAAUACUCUAUGGUGAAAAAGGAAUCACAAAGCUGUAAUCAAUUUUUUUGCAUCAUUUAGUUGUAACUUGAACAUUGGGAGGUUUAUAAAGAAUUAAAUUAAUUAUAAUGCCUCUACUAGGAAAAGUUCAGAGUAGCCCUUCACAACUUUUUAAAGGCUUAAUAAUUUUCGCUUUCUUCCUCUCAUAACAUAACAAAAAAUUAAGAGCUUUACUCGUACACGUCCUAUGGCUAUAUAGUAUUGGGUUCUCUACUUCAAUCGGCUAUCUCAAACCGAAGGUUAUUUGGACACACCAGCAGUCACGUUUGG
rnacentral:lncRNA from 1 species